rnacentral:rRNA from 1 species
UACGUAGGGUGCGAGCGUUAAUCGGAAUUACUGGGCGUAAAGCGUGCGCAGGCGGUUCGUUGUGUCUGCUGUGAAAGCCCCGGGCUCAACCUGGGAAUGGCAGUGGAAACUGACGAGCUGGAGUGUGGCAGAGGGGGGUGGAAUUCCGCGUGUAGCAGUGAAAUGCGUAGAGAUGCGGAGGAACACCGAUGGCGAAGGCAGCCCCCUGGGCUGACACUGACGCUCAGGCACGAAAGCGUGGGGAGCAAACAGG